rnacentral:rRNA from 1 species
AUACGUAGGGGGCGAGCGUUGUCCGGAAUGACUGGGCGUAAAGGGUGUGUAGGCGGUUGUCUAAGUCUGGAGUGAAAGUCCUGCUUUCAAGGUGGGAAUAGCUUUGGAUACUGGAUGACUUGAGUGCGGAAGAGGUAAGUGGAAUUCCCAGUGUAGCGGUGAAAUGCGUAGAGAUUGGGAGGAACACCAGUGGCGAAGGCGACUUACUGGGCCGUAACUGACGCUGAGGUGCGAAAGCGUGGGGAGCGAACAGGAGUAGAUACCCUGGUAGUCCACGCGGUAAACGAUGAAUGCUAGGUGUUGCGGGUAUCGACCCCUGCAGUGCCGGAGUAAACACAAUAAGCAUUCCGCCUGGGGAGUACGGCCGCAAGGUUGAAACUCAAAUGAAUUGACGGGG